rnacentral:misc_RNA from 1 species
UUUCCGUAGGUGAACCUGCGGAAGGAUCAUUAAUAAAUGGUCUACGUUUAAGUAGACACUUAAUAAUCCUACCUUUGUGAAUUUGUUGUUUUGAAAUAAUUUUUUUAAAAUUAUUGAUUGUCUUUCCAUGUUGAAUAGAAUGUUUUCGAACAUGAAAUUCGCAGGGAGUGUCAGUAAUUUUUAAAAAGACCUUUUUUAAAUUAAACUUUUUGUAUUCAUUUAUCUAAAUUAUUUUUAUAAUAUAAAAACAACUUUUGACAAUGGAUCUCUUGGUUCUCGCAACGAUGAAGAACGCAGCAAAAUGCGAUAAGUAGUGUGAAUUGCAGAAUACGUGAAUCAUCGAAUCUUCGAACGCAUAUUGCACUUUUUAGUUUACUAAAAAAGUAUGUCUGUUUGAGUAUCAGUAAAUAUUCUCAUAAAACUAUUGUUUUUAUGGUUAUGAGUGUUUUACAACGAUACAAGUUGUUUCACUUUAAAUUUUUUUAAAAUUUGAAUUUUUCUAAUUUUAAAUAAAAUUGGAUAAAAUUUUCCCGUAAAAAGGAAUAACCUAACAAUUUUAGUUUUUUGAAUAGAAUUUUUCAUUAUAAAGGAAAGUUUAAUAAAUAACUUGAUCUCAAAUCAGAUAAGAUACCGCUGAACUUAAGCAUAUCAAUAAGCGGAGGAAAGAAACUAACAAGGAUUCCUUAGUAACGGCGAGUGAAGCGGGAAGAGCUCAAAUUUGAAAUCUUCAAGGUUUACCUUGACGAAUUGUAGUUUAAAGAAGUGUUUUCUGUUGAAGUUUUGGUAAAAGUUCUUUGGAAUAGGAUAUCAUAGAGGUGAGAAUCCGUAUUUGACCAUUAUUUUCAGCUGUGUGAUACACUUUCAAAGAGUCGGAUUGUUUGGGAAUGCAGUCAAAAUGGGUGGUAAAUUCAUCUAAAGCUAAAUAUUGGCGAGAGACCGAUAGCGAACAAGUACCGAGAGGGAAAGAUGAAAAGAACUUUGAAAGAGAGUUAAACAGUACGUGAAAUUGUCAAAAGGGAAGCGUUGACACCAGUGUUGUUUUCUCGAAAAUCAAUUAAAAGAGUUGGAUUUUGUGUUGUAUUGACCUUAACAGCUUGCUUCACUCUUUCCUGCUUUUUUAAUGCACUUUUCGUUUAACAAGUCAACAUCAGUUUCUUUUGUUGUAAAAGGUCAUUGGAAGUGGCUUUCUCUUCGGAGAAAGUGUUUAUAGCCUUUGAUCUCUGCAAUCGGAGAGAUUGAGGUCUGCAGCGUAAUCCUUCGGGUUAGAUACAUUGUGCUAAGUUACAGCUUUUAUAGACUACUUGUUGAUAUGAUGGUCUGUAAUUUACUCGCGAGUGCUAUU